rnacentral:piRNA from 1 species
UGGUCUAUCAUGGCUGAAAUGAAUGGGC